CGGGGGCUCAACCCCCGGAAGUGCAUUGGAUACUGGCAGACUUGAGUAUGGGAGAGGAAAGUGGAAUUCCGAGUGUAGGAGUGAAAUCCGUAGAUAUUCGGAGGAACACCAGUGGCGAAGGCGGCUUUCUGGACCAAUACUGACGCUGAGAUGCGAAAGCGUGGGGAGCGAACAGGAUUAGAUACCCUGGUAGUCCACGCCGUAAACGAUGGGCACUAGGUGUUGCGGGUAACCACUCCUGCAGUGCCGCAGCUAACGCAUUAAGUGCCCCGCCUGGGGAGUACGGCCGCAAGGCUAAAACUCAAAGGAAUUGACGGGGGCCCGUACAAGCGGUGGAGCAUGUGGUUUAAUUCGACGCAACGCGAAGAACCUUACCUGGGUUUGACAUCCCGAUCGUACAUUAUGGAAACAUAGUGGUCAGCUUGGCUGGAUCGGUGACAGGUGCUGCAUGGCUGUCGUCAGCUCGUGUCGUGAGAUGUUGGGUUAAGUCCCGCAACGAGCGCAACCCUUGUCCUUAGUUGCCAUCAUUUAGUUGGGCACUCUAGGGAGACUGCCGGUGUUAAGCCGGAGGAAGGUGGGGAUGACGUCAAGUCCUCAUGGCCCUUAUAUCCAGGGCUACACACGUGCUACAAUGGCCGGUACAAAGGGCAGCAAUACCGCGAGGUGGAGCUAAUCCCAAAAAGCCGGUCUCAGUUCGGAUUGGAGUCUGCAACUCGACUCCAUGAAGUUGGAAUCGCUAGUAAUCGCGUAUCAGCAUGACGCGGUGAAUACGUUCCCGGGCCUUGUACACACCGCCCGUCACACCACGGGAGUCUAUUGUACCGGAAACC
rnacentral:rRNA from 1 species